rnacentral:lncRNA from 1 species
CUGCCGCUAAGACCGCACUCAAUGAGCUGUAUAAGGCCGUAAGCAAACAGGAAAAAGCUCAUCCAGAGGCAGCGUCCUACUGGCCGGGGACUUUAAACGCAGGGAAACUUAAAUCCAUUUUACCUAAUUUCUACCAGCAUGUUUAAAUGUGCAACCAGAGGAAAAAAUACUCGACCACCUUUACUCCACACACGGAGAUGCAUACCAAGUUCUACCUCGCCCUCCAUUUGGCAAAUCUGACCAUAAUUCUAUGGGAUUCUGGGUUUCUUCUGAUGGCAUUGAUGAGUACAUCACAUCAGUCACUGGCUUCCUCAAUAAGUGCAUCGAUGACGUUGUCCCCACAGUGACCGUACGUACAUACCCCAACCAGAAGCCAUGGAUUACAGGCAACAUCCGCACUGAGCUAAAGGGUAGAGCUGCCGCUUUCCAAGGAGCGGGACUCUAACCCGGACGCUUAUAAGAAAUCCCGCUAAGCCCUCCGACGAACCAUCAAACAGGCAAACCGUCAAUACACGACUAAUAUUAAAUCGUACUAUACCGGCUCUGACGCUCGACGGAUGUGGCAGGACAUGCAAAAUGUUAGACUACAAAGAGAAGCACAGCCACAAGCUGCCCAGUGGCACAAGCCGACCAGACGAGCUAAAUUAAUUCUAUGCUCGCUUCGAGGCUAGCAACACUGAAGCAUGUAUGAUAGCAUCAGCUGUUCCGGACGACUGUGUGAUCACGCUCUCCGUAGCCAAUGUGAGUAAGACCUUUUAAACAGGUCAACAUUCACAAGGCCGCAGGACCAGACGGAUUACCAAGACGUGUACUCCGAGCAUGCGCUGACCAACUGACCACCAUAGUCGAAUGAUUGGAUGACCCUUGGAUACAGCAGCCAGUAACUGAGGCACAGCAGAUGGAACCAGCGUUGGCAUGCAAAACAUUCAAUCAAAACAAAGCCAAGCGUAACACGUUAUAAAUAAUAUCAAAUAUCAAUGCAGUAUGACGAAUGAGCCAUCCAUUGUGUUAUAUCAUAAAUUGUCUUACAUGCCGUCACUGUUGUCAAAAGAUUAUAAACAUGUUAAAUAAAGUUACUAACCC